UCAUCCUUAGAGGACCACCAGUUGCGAAGGCGCCACACUGGAACGGAUCCGACGGUCAGGGACGAAGCCUAGGGGCACGAACCGGAUUAGAUACCCGGGUAGUCCUAGGUGUAAACGCUGUGAACUUGGUGUCGGGGAUCCGCAAUGGGUCCUCGUUGCCGGAGUGAAGAUGUUAAGUUCACUGCCUGGGGAGUACGGUCGCAAGGCUGAAACUUAAAGGAAUUGGCGGGGGAGCACUGCAACGGGAGGAGCGUGCGGUUUAAUUGGAUUCAACGCAGGAAAACUCACCAAGGCCGACGGACAAAUGAAGAUCAACGUAACGAGUUUAUUGGAUUGUUCGAGAGGUGGUGCAUGGCCGUCGUCAGUUCGUACUGUAAAGCGUUCUGUUAAGUCAGAUAACGAACGAGACCCGCAUCCCUAUUUGCGACCCUCAUGUCCGCAUGAGGCGCACCAUAGGGAGACCGCUGGUGUGAAACCAGAGGAAGGCGCGGGCAACGACAGGUCAGUAUGCCCCGAAUGUCUUGGGCUACACGCGCGCUACAAAGGACAGGACAAUGGGAAGCCACGCCGAGAGGCGGCGCUACCCCGAAACCUGUUCAUAGUUCGGAUCGAGGGCUGUAACUCGCCCUCGUGAAGCUGGAUUCCGUAGUAAUCGUGUUUCAACAUAGCACGGUGAAUAUGCCCCUGCUCCUUGCACACACCGCCCGUCAAACCAUCUUAGUUGGGGAUGGAUGAGGCUGCGUUUAAAUGGCGUAUUCGAGUCUGUCUUCGACAAGGAGGGUUAAGUCGUAACAAGGUAUCUGUAGGGGAACCUGCAGAUG
rnacentral:rRNA from 1 species